rnacentral:lncRNA from 1 species
GCACCGCCUCCCCGCACCGACCCCCCCCCGGGGGCAGCCCCCCCAGCCGGCCCCGGGACCCCCGGGGGGCUCCGCAGCCCCCGACGUGGGGCAGGAGAGGAGCGAAGCGCGGGACGGCGACGCCACCGAGGUGAUGCUUUGUGGGGUGUUUUGUCCGUGGGUUUGGUUUUGGGGGCGUUUUUUGGGGUUCCCUUGGGUGCCCCCCCCCACCCCAGCACGCAGCCCCUUCCCCGGGGGCUGUGCCGCCCUCACGGGGUCUCCCCCCGCGUCCCUUCCAGGCCCCGUCCGUCCCCCGGGACCUCCUCGAGGCCAUCAGCGGGGUGAAGGCGGCGCAGUCCCGCAUGGCCGAGGACAUCCGCGGGAUCAAGGAGCUGCUGGGCCUGGCGGGCGAGCAGCGGGGACCCCGCGGCGGGGGGAGCCCGGAGAGCGACGGGGUACGUCCGCGGUCCCGUGGGAGCAGGGGUGCUCCCGGGGACAGAGCCGGGUGUUUUGCACCACGCGAGCUCAAUGGUUUCCCCGGUUCCCGUUGCACGGCCCCAUAAAUUUGUUUCCAUCACUUUCUGCUCCCCAGGAGGCUGCCGGGAGCCAGUCUGCAGCCUCCGAGUCCUCCGGGUCCCCCGAGUCGGGCGAGGAGGGCACCGAGCGUGGGGGGACCCCGCGGGGGACGCAGCCUGCGCCCAGGACCGGCAAGGGGACACCGGGGACACAGCCCCGCUCCCCGGGGGCGCGAGCAGGGACGCGGAGAGCACCAGCGACCCCCGAGAGGCGGGCAGGCGCUGCCCCCGAUCACACGGGGACGGCUGGUGCCGGUGCCACCGCCCCGGGGAUGCAGCCGGGGGUCCCUGGCACUCAGGCUGCCGUGCUGGGGACACAGCCAGGGUCCCCCGGCACCCAGACCUCCACCCUGGGAGCACAGCCUGGGUCCCCUGGCACCCAAAUCACCACCCCGGGGGCACAGCCUGGGUCCCCUGGCACCCA